AACGAACGCUGGUGGCAGGCUUAACACAUGCAAGUCGAACGCUCGUAGCAAUACGGGAGUGGCAGACGGGUGAGUAACGCGUGGGAACAUGCCCUUUGGUUCGGAACAACUCCGGGAAACUGGAGCUGAAACCGGAUAAGCCCUACGGGGGAAAGAUUUAUCGCCGAAGGAUUGGCCCGCGUCUGAUUAGCUAGUUGGUGGGGUAAUGGCCCACCAAGGCGACGAUCAGUAGCUGGUCUGAGAGGAUGAUCGGCCACACUGGGACUGAGACACGGCCCAGACUCCUACGGGAGGCAGCAGUGGGGAAUAUUGGACAAUGGGCGCAAGCCUGAUCCAGCCAUGCCGCGUGAGUGAUGAAGGCCUUAGGGUUGUAAAGCUCUUUCGCGCGCGACGAUAAUGACGGUAGCGCGAGAAGAAGCCCCGGCUAACUUCGUGCCAGCCGCCGCAGUAAUAC
rnacentral:rRNA from 1 species